rnacentral:lncRNA from 14 species
CCUCCCCACCCCCACGCCACCCGCUCACCAGCUCGGCCACUGCUCGCGCUGGCUCGGCCGCCGCCACCGCCGCUAACGCCGCCAACGCCACCACAGCUUCCUCCGCUGCGGGGCCAAAGCCUUGAGUGUCAUUCAAGGGACAGCACAACCUCACCCAAGCUCUCCUACCUCUGCCCAGCCGUCCCUCUCAUCCUCCCCCUUCCUCCGCCACACUCCAUCCAAAGAAGAGGGAAAGCGCGGAGCAGAGGGAGAGAAAGGCAAAGUCUGCCACCCUCUUCCCUUGGCCCCCUUGCUCCUCCAUCCCGAUUUUGACUCCCAGACCCUCCUUCCCAACGGACCCUCAGGAACUGAGGAGACUCACCCUACUGCCAUGUCCAAAAGCUUGAAAAAGAAAAGCCACUGGACUAGCAAAGUCCACGAGAGUGUCAUUGGCAGAAACCCGGAGGGCCAGCUGGGCUUUGAACUGAAGGGGGGCGCCGAAAACGGACAGUUCCCCUACCUGGGGGAGGUGAAGCCGGGCAAGGUGGCCUAUGAAAGCGGCAGCAAGUUGGUGUCCGAGGAGCUGCUGCUGGAGGUGAACGAGACCCCCGUGGCGGGGCUCACCAUCAGGGAUGUUCUGGCCGUGAUCAAACACUGCAAGGACCCCCUCCGGCUCAAGUGUGUCAAGCAAGUUGAGAUUUCAUUACAUGAUCCUGCCCGUCUUCAGGCUGCCAGGCUACUGCUUCACCCUUCUGGAGGCCAGCACUGCAAGCCUGAGGAGCCACUGUAUAUACAUGGCUUGUAG